UACGGGGGGGGCAAGCGUUGUUCGGAAUUACUGGGCGUAAAGGGCUCGUAGGCGGCCAACUAAGUCAGACGUGAAAUCCCUCGGCUUAACCGGGGAACUGCGUCUGAUACUGGAUGGCUCGAGUUUGGGAGAGGGAUGCGGAAUUCCAGGUGUAGCGGUGAAAUGCGUAGAUAUCUGGAGGAACACCGGUGGCGAAGGCGGCAUCCUGGACCAACACUGACGCUGAUGAGCGAAAGCCAGGGGAGCAAACGGGG
rnacentral:rRNA from 1 species